rnacentral:rRNA from 1 species
UGGGGAAUAUUGGACAAUGGGGGGAACCCUGAUCCAGCCAUGCCGCGUGUGUGAAGAAGGCCUUAUGGUUGUAAAGCACUUUAAGCGAGGAGGAGGCUCUCUUGGUUAAUACCCAAGAAGAGUGGACGUUACUCGCAGAAUAAGCACCGGCUAACUCUGUGCCAGCAGCCGAGGUAAUACAGAGGGUGCGAGCGUUAAUCGGAUUUACUGGGCGUAAAGCGUGCGUAGGCGGCUUUUUAAGUCGGAUGUGAAAUCCCCGAGCUUAACUUGGGAAUUGCAUUCGAUACUGGGAAGCUAGAGUAUGGGAGAGGAUGGUAGAAUUCCAGGUGUAGCGGUGAAAUGCGUAGAGAUCUGGAGGAAUACCGAUGGCGAAGGCAGCCAUCUGGCCUAAUACUGACGCUGAGGUACGAAAGCAUGGGGAGCAAACAGG